UGCAAAGGAAAAGAUUAAGUACAGGAGCAAAGAAAGAGAUCAAAGGGAUCAUUGCCUUGAGCUCAGAGAUUUGCACAUCACCUGAGGGAAUCAGCUUCAGGCAUCCAGAAGACACAAAGAAAAUGUGAAUGUCAUCAGUAUUCUCACAGGUUAGAAAUACAACGUAGUAAAGAGCUUUGCACUGGAGUGGCUGCAGUGC